AUAUCCAUUUCCUUUAUCAAUUCUUCUCUCCAGUUCAGAGCUCCAUUUUAGAUCGCCAUGAUCACAUAAUAACAAACCUUAAUUAGCAACUGAUUCAAAACCAUUAAUUCAAAUCUAUCAACCCUUUUAUGAAAACCCAUUUCUUCAGAACGAAUUUUUUCCCGUUUUCAAUCUUCAUCCGGUAAACUUGUGGGUUUAAAAUUUAUUUAUUUUUUUCCUUUAAUUUCUUGGAUGUUAGGGUUUUAAUUUAAAUUUUGUUUUCAUUUUUGUAUGUAGAAGACCUUCAGGUGGAUUUGUCUUCAGAUAACUAUGGCUAGGGGCCCGGGAAGUAGCAUCAGGUCUCGCCGGACUACAAAUCCUACCACAAAUGCAAGUAAUUGGACUCAUUUGGUUGAUACACGAACGCCUCCACCAACUAAUGGUUUAGACAGUCACGAAAGUCCAUUUACUUCAUCCUUCAUGCUUGCAAUGGAGUGAAUGUAAUCUUGAAGUUCUGGAGGAUUGCAAUUUAGCGAAAAUUUCCAUAGUUACACCAGGCUUUGUUGGAGCUGACUUGUCAGAAUUGGUUAAAAAGGCUGGUAAGAUUGCAAAGAAAAGGACAAUUGCUAUUACGAAAUGCAAUAAUGAAGUGCCCAAUGUAGACUGGUCGAUGCAACCGCUGGAAGCAUAGGAAAUGGAAGGACUUGGCAUUAGCAUGACUUAUUUUGAGGACGCAUGUAAAAUUGUUCAACCAUCUUUAAGAAGAGAAGUAUUUUUCACCUAUUCCCAGUAUCAAGUGGGAAGAUGUCGGUGGUCUUGACUUCCUGAGGAGGGAAUUUGAAGAAUAUAUUGUCAAUCGUAUAAGUAUCCCGAGGAUUAUGAGCUUCAGGCUGGAGUAAUGGACAUGAUUUGAGAUAGUUUGUCAGAAAAUUGAGGCAUGGAUGGUGAAGUCUUACCUUCAACUUAGGCUCGAGUAAUGGACCUGAUUUGAGCUAGUUUGUCUUGAGCUAGUUUGUCGGAAAACGGAGGCAUGGAUGGUGAAGUCUUCCCUUCAAAUUAGUGUUGAAGCUUGUAAUAGAAAUAUAGGUUAAGGUUUUCCAACACAGUGUUGAAGUUUUUCAGACUUGGAACUUGCUGUAUUUUAGAUAGACUUUUUUUUUUUUUUCAAAUCAGUAUUUUAGAUAUUCAAAAUUGUAAACCGAAUACAGUUUUCAAUACAAAUUGAAUUUUAG